GGUUAAGCGACUAAGCGUACACGGUGGAUGCCCUGGCAGUCAGAGGCGAUGAAGGACGUGCUAAUCUGCGAUAAGCGUCGGUAAGGUGAUAUGAACCGUUAUAACCGGCGAUUUCCGAAUGGGGAAACCCAGUGUGAUUCGUCACACUAUCAUUAACUGAAUCCAUAGGUUAAUGAGGCGAACCGGGGGAACUGAAACAUCUAAGUACCCCGAGGAAAAGAAAUCAACCGAGAUUCCCCCAGUAGCGGCGAGCGAACGGGGAGGAGCCCAGAGCCUGAAUCAGUGUGUGUGUUAGUGGAAGCGUCUGGAAAGGCGCGCGAUACAGGGUGACAGCCCCGUACACAAAAAUGCACAUACUGUGAGCUCGAUGAGUAGGGCGGGACACGUGGUAUCCUGUCUGAAUAUGGGGGGACCAUCCUCCAAGGCUAAAUACUCCUGACUGACCGAUAGUGAACCAGUACCGUGAGGGAAAGGCGAAAAGAACCCCGGCGAGGGGAGUGAAAAAGAACCUGAAACCGUGUACGUACAAGCAGUGGGAGCCUCUUUUAUGGGGUGACUGCGUACCUUUUGUAUAAUGGGUCAGCGACUUAUAUUCUGUAGCAAGGUUAACCGAAUAGGGGAGCCGAAGGGAAACCGAGUCUUAACCGGGCGUUAAGUUGCAGGGUAUAGACCCGAAACCCGGUGAUCUAGCCAUGGGCAGGUUGAAGGUUGGGUAACACUAACUGGAGGACCGAACCGACUAAUGUUGAAAAAUUAGCGGAUGACUUGUGGCUGGGGGUGAAAGGCCAAUCAAACCGGGAGAUAGCUGGUUCUCCCCGAAAGCUAUUUAGGUAGCGCCUCGUGAAUUCAUCUCCGGGGGUAGAGCACUGUUUCGGCAAGGGGGUCAUCCCGACUUACCAACCCGAUGCAAACUGCGAAUACCGGAGAAUGUUAUCACGGGAGACACACGGCGGGUGCUAACGUCCGUCGUGAAGAGGGAAACAACCCAGACCGCCAGCUAAGGUCCCAAAGUCAUGGUUAAGUGGGAAACGAUGUGGGAAGGCCCAGACAGCCAGGAUGUUGGCUUAGAAGCAGCCAUCAUUUAAAGAAAGCGUAAUAGCUCACUGGUCGAGUCGGCCUGCGCGGAAGAUGUAACGGGGCUAAACCAUGCACCGAAGCUGCGGCAGCGACACUGUGUGUUGUUGGGUAGGGGAGCGUUCUGUAAGCCUGUGAAGGUGUACUGUAAGGUAUGCUGGAGGUAUCAGAAGUGCGAAUGCUGACAUAAGUAACGAUAAAGCGGGUGAAAAGCCCGCUCGCCGGAAGACCAAGGGUUCCUGUCCAACGUUAAUCGGGGCAGGGUGAGUCGACCCCUAAGGCGAGGCCGAAAGGCGUAGUCGAUGGGAAACAGGUUAAUAUUCCUGUACUUGGUGUUACUGCGAAGGGGGGACGGAGAAGGCUAUGUUGGCCGGGCGACGGUUGUCCCGGUUUAAGCGUGUAGGCUGGUUUUCCAGGCAAAUCCGGAAAAUCAAGGCUGAGGCGUGAUGACGAGGCACUACGGUGCUGAAGCAACAAAUGCCCUGCUUCCAGGAAAAGCCUCUAAGCAUCAGGUAACAUCAAAUCGUACCCCAAACCGACACAGGUGGUCAGGUAGAGAAUACCAAGGCGCUUGAGAGAACUCGGGUGAAGGAACUAGGCAAAAUGGUGCCGUAACUUCGGGAGAAGGCACGCUGAUAUGUAGGUGAAGUCCCUCGCGGAUGGAGCUGAAAUCAGUCGAAGAUACCAGCUGGCUGCAACUGUUUAUUAAAAACACAGCACUGUGCAAACACGAAAGUGGACGUAUACGGUGUGACGCCUGCCCGGUGCCGGAAGGUUAAUUGAUGGGGUCAGCGCAAGCGAAGCUCUUGAUCGAAGCCCCGGUAAACGGCGGCCGUAACUAUAACGGUCCUAAGGUAGCGAAAUUCCUUGUCGGGUAAGUUCCGACCUGCACGAAUGGCGUAAUGAUGGCCAGGCUGUCUCCACCCGAGACUCAGUGAAAUUGAACUCGCUGUGAAGAUGCAGUGUACCCGCGGCAAGACGGAAAGACCCCGUGAACCUUUACUAUAGCUUGACACUGAACAUUGAGCCUUGAUGUGUAGGAUAGGUGGGAGGCUUUGAAGUGUGGACGCCAGUCUGCAUGGAGCCGACCUUGAAAUACCACCCUUUAAUGUUUGAUGUUCUAACGUGGACCCGUGAUCCGGGUUGCGGACAGUGUCUGGUGGGUAGUUUGACUGGGGCGGUCUCCUCCUAAAGAGUAACGGAGGAGCACGAAGGUUGGCUAAUCCUGGUCGGACAUCAGGAGGUUAGUGCAAUGGCAUAAGCCAGCUUGACUGCGAGCGUGACGGCGCGAGCAGGUGCGAAAGCAGGUCAUAGUGAUCCGGUGGUUCUGAAUGGAAGGGCCAUCGCUCAACGGAUAAAAGGUACUCCGGGGAUAACAGGCUGAUACCGCCCAAGAGUUCAUAUCGACGGCGGUGUUUGGCACCUCGAUGUCGGCUCAUCACAUCCUGGGGCUGAAGUAGGUCCCAAGGGUAUGGCUGUUCGCCAUUUAAAGUGGUACGCGAGCUGGGUUUAGAACGUCGUGAGACAGUUCGGUCCCUAUCUGCCGUGGGCGCUGGAGAACUGAGGGGGGCUGCUCCUAGUACGAGAGGACCGGAGUGGACGCAUCACUGGUGUUCGGGUUGUCAUGCCAAUGGCACUGCCCGGUAGCUAAAUGCGGAAGAGAUAAGUGCUGAAAGCAUCUAAGCACGAAACUUGCCCCGAGAUGAGUUCUCCCUGACCCUUUAAGGGUCCUGAAGGAACGUUGAAGACGACGACGUUGAUAGGCCGGGUGUGUAAGCGCAGCGAUGCGUUGAGCUAACCGGUACUAAUGAACCGUGAGGCUUAACCUU
rnacentral:rRNA from 2 species